rnacentral:lncRNA from 1 species
CACGCAGCGAUGAGAUGUGUAAGAACUAACACGAAGCUGCGUUCCUCCCAGUCACGCGCAGGAUUGGAUUCCUUUUCACGGUCAGCCUCCGGUACCUUCGACCCAGGACGAGACCCUCAGUAGUAAAGCCCUUAACAGGUGCUUGUGGACUGCGCAUGUGGGAUGCUGAGGUGCUGCGGGCGAGGCUGAGUCUGUGAGGGAAAGUACGGUGGCCAGACUUUAACCAGGAAGCUUAUGUUGGAGGGACGAUGGUCCGCUCCGGGCAGGACCCUUACGCCCGCAACAAGUUCAACCAGGUGGAGAGUGAUAAGCUUCGAAUGGACAGAGCCAUCCCUGACACCCGGCAUGACCAGU